rnacentral:miRNA from 1 species
AGCGGCGUCAGAAGCGAUGGCC